rnacentral:ncRNA from 1 species
GCAUUUUUGAUGGAGCAGGCCAUUCUGUAUCAGCAGGAUGGAGCCGGGCGAUACUGCAGCAGGAUGGCUUUCCUGCGGGACCUAU